rnacentral:rRNA from 1 species
GACGAACGCUGGCGGCGUGCUUAACACAUGCGAGUCGAACGGAAAGGCCCUGCUUUUGUGGGGUGCUCGAGUGGCGAACGGGUGAGUAACACGUGAGUAACCUGCCCUUGACUUUGGGAUAACUUCAGGAAACUGGGGCUAAUACCGGAUAGGAGCUCCUGCUGCAUGGUGGGGGUUGGAAAGUUUCGGCGGUUGGGGAUGGACUCGCGGCUUAUCAGCUUGUUGGUGGGGUAGUGGCUUACCAAGGCUUUGACGGGUAGCCGGCCUGAGAGGGUGACCGGCCACAUUGGGACUGAGAUACGGCCCAGACUCCUCCGGGAGGCAGCAGUGGAGAAUAUUGCACAAUGGGCGGAAGCCUGAUGCAGCAACGCCGCGUGCGGGAUGACGGCCUUCGGGUUGUAAACCGCUUUCGCCUGUGACGAAGCGUGAGUGACGGUAAUGGGUAAAGAAGCACCGGCUAACUACGUG